UACGUAGGGUCCGAGCGUUGUCCGGAAUUACUGGGCGUAAAGAGCUCGUAGGUGGUUUGUCGCGUUGUCCGUGAAAACUCACAGCUCAACUGUGGGCGUGCGGGCGAUACGGGCAGACUGGAGUACUGCAGGGGAGACUGGAAUUCCUGGUGUAGCGGUGGAAAUGCGCAGAUAUCAGGAGGAACACCAGUGGCGAAGGCAGGCU
rnacentral:rRNA from 1 species